AACGAACGCUGGCGGCAUGCCUUACACAUGCAAGUCGAACGGUAACAGGUCUUCGGAUGCUGACGAGUGGCGAACGGGUGAGUAAUACAUCGGAACGUGCCUAGUAGUGGGGGAUAACUACUCGAAAGAGUGGCUAAUACCGCAUGAGAUCUACGGAUGAAAGCAGGGGAUCGCAAGACCUUGUGCUACUAGAGCGGCCGAUGGCAGAUUAGGUAGUUGGUGGGAUAAAAGCUUACCAAGCCGACGAUCUGUAGCUGGUCUGAGAGGACGAUCAGCCACACUGGGACUGAGACACGGCCCAGACUCCUACGGGAGGCAGCAGUGGGGAAUUUUGGACAAUGGGCGCAAGCCUGAUCCAGCAAUGCCGCGUGCAGGAUGAAGGCCUUCGGGUUGUAAACUGCUUUUGUACGGAACGAAAAGCCCUGGGUUAAUACCCUGGGGUCAUGACGGUACCGUAAGAAUAAGCACCGGCUAACUACGUGCCAGCCGCCGCGGUAACAC
rnacentral:rRNA from 1 species